rnacentral:rRNA from 1 species
UACAGAGGGUGCAAGCGUUAAUCGGAAUUACUGGGCGUAAAGCGUGCGUAGACGGUAGCGUAAGUCAGGUGUGAAAGCCCCGGGCUCAACCUGGGAAUUGCAUUCGAGACUGCGUAGCUAGGGUGCGGAAGAGGGAAGCGGAAUUUCCGGUGUAGCGGUGAAAUGCGUAGAUAUCGGAAGGAACACCAGUGGCGAAAGCGGCUUCCUGGUCCAGCACCGACGUUCAGGCACGAAAGCGUGGGGAGCAAACAGG